rnacentral:rRNA from 1 species
GUGGGGAAUCUUCCGCAAUGGACGAAAGUCUGACGGAGCAACGCCGCGUGAGUGAAGAAGGUUUUCGGAUCGUAAAGCUCUUUCGUUAGGGACGAACGUGCUCUUUGUGAAUAAUGAGGAGUAAUGACGGUACCUAAAUAAGAAGCCACGGCUAACUACGUGCCAGCAGCCGCGGUAAUACGUAGGUGGCAAGCGUUGUCCGGAAUUAUUGGGCGUAAAGCGCGCGCAGGCGGGAUAUCAAGUCUGUCUUAAAAGUGCGAGGCUCAACCUCGUGAGGGGACAGAAACUGGUAUUCUUGAGUGUCGGAGAGAAAAGUGGAAUUCCAAGUGUAGCGGUGAAAUGCGUAGAGAUUUGGAAGAACACCAGUGGCGAAGGCGACUUUCUGGACGAUGUCUGACGCUGAGGCGCGAAAGCUAGGGGAGCGAACGGGAUUAGAAACCCCUGUAGUCC